GACAGGUACGAAGCGGUUUUAAUGACAGAGUUAGUGAGUGGUUUGAAAGGGGCUGACUCUAGCAAAUCAGACAUAUUUUGGAUACCCUUAAGUACAGUCUGAUUGAAUAGGAUGAAAGGAAACUGGCGUUGUUGGAUGCAAUAUAUUAAUAAUUAGCUUGGAUCAGGAUCAUUUUACUGGCUGGCUAGCUAGUGCCAAGUGGCGAAGCAAUUCACUAG